GAAACUGUAGAGUUGUGUUUCUAAGUGUGCAUCUUUUGACAGUCGUAACUUUGUCAUUCGAAAUCUAUUUAGGACAAACUCUAUAUCGAUAUUGGUGUACUGAAAGUCUACUUUCUAAUGGUGGUGGUUUCAUGACUCAACUUUGAUCCUAUAAAAUGCUACAGUCUUUUAAAGACAGGCUGGUUGUAGGAUGUCUUGUUAUUUUGGGAGUGUUGUUGUGUUUGAACUUCAUGUGUGUUAUUCUUUGGCCAUUGUUUAGUUCCUUAUGAGCUUAUUAUUCUUGUGUUGAUCGUUCGUUGAACUUAUUACUAAUACGGUUAAGCGUGUGGUUAAGUAACGAGCUGAGUAAUCGGGAGGUGCCAAAAUCGUAAGUUGGCAUACUUCGGUCGACUCACAGAUAGCAAGGGUUUGUAGGAUGGUCCACUACCGGUCGGCGUUUUGGGGUUGGCUUUGAGGAUGUUGAUUGUGUCGGUGGUAGUGAGUUGUCUUGUAUAUAUAAUUGACUCGUUUUGUAAAGGAUGUUUUGCACUUUAGUUUACCAAGUAUGUAAAGUUAUGGGUAUAACGUCGACUCUUUUAAUAAUAUUAAUGUUAAGUCUUCCGCUGGAUUAUUCUGA